GCACAGCAACGGGUGGAGCGUGCGGUUUAAUUGGAUUCAACGCCGGAAAUCUCACCGGAGGCGACGGUUAUAUGAAGGCCAGGCUGAUGACCUUGCCUGAUUUUCCGAGAAGUGGUGCAUGGCCGUCGUCAGUUCGUACCGUGAGGCGUUCUGUUAAGUCAGACAACGAACGAGACCCUCAUCUUUAGUUGCUACUGGUAAGUCCGCUUACUAGGCACACUAAAGAAACCGCUGGCGAUAAGUCAGAGGAAGGUGAGGGCAACGGUAGGUCAGUAUGCCCCGAAUCCUCCGGGCUACACGCGCGCUACAAAGGCUAGGACAAUGGGUUUCAACACCGAAAGGUGACGGUAAUCCCGAAACCUAGUCGUAGUUCGGAUUGAGGAUUGAAACUCAUCCUCAUGAAGCUGGAAUCCGUAGUAAUCGCGGGUCAACAUCCCGCGGUGAAUAUGCCCCUGCUCCUUGCACACACCGCCCGUCAAACCAUGCGAGUUGGGCCUGAGCGAGGAUAUAGUCUUUGCUAUGUUCGAACUUAGACUUAGUAAGCGGGGUU
rnacentral:rRNA from 1 species